UCCCUCUCCACUCAGCUCUUCUGAGGCCCCAUCUGGAGUACUGCAUCAAGGCCUGGGGCCCCCAGCAUGAGAAAGACACAGAACUCUUGGAAUGGGUCCAGAGGAGGGCCACUAAGAUGAUCAGAGGGCUGGAGCACCUCUCCUAUGAGGAAAGGUUGAGGGAACUGGGCUUGUUUAGCUUGGAGAAGAGAAGGCUCCAGGGAGACCUCACUGCAGCCUUCCAGUACUUGAAGGGAGCAUAUAAACAGGAGGGGGAAUGGCUGUUUAUGUUGGUGGAUAGUGAUAGGACAAGGGGGAAUGGUUUUAAACUGGGACAGGGGAGGUUUAGGUUAGAUAUUAGGAGGAAGUUUUUCACUCAGAGGCUGGUGACGCACUGGAACAGGUUGCCCAAGGAGGCUGUGGAUGCCCCAUCCCUGGAGGCAUUCAAGGCCAGGCUGGAUGUGGCUCUGGGCAGCCUGGUCUGGUGGUUGGUGACCAUGCACAUAGCAGGGGGGGUUGAAACUUAAUGAUCAUUGUGGUCCUUUUCAACCCAGGCCAUUCUGUGAUUCUGUGAUUACACCUCUGAAUAAAAAAAAAUUGAAGAUCUGAUAAAACAGUUUAAUCCUAAAUUGUUGCAGCAGCUCUGUACUAAGGGUUUAGACCUAAAGCAGUUUAGACCCAUAGCAGUAGUUGGGUGCUCUAUGUACCAUUUAAUUACACAAAACAUCCCCAUUUCUCAGCCUUUCCUGAAAUAUCACAACCUCUCGUUCUAUUUCCUGCCUGUACCAUAC
rnacentral:lncRNA from 1 species